rnacentral:piRNA from 1 species
UGGUCUAGGAAAAGUCUCAAUCUCUC